rnacentral:rRNA from 1 species
UUUAAAGUCUAAUCUGCCCUAUGAGGGAUUAAAUGGCCGCGGUAUUUUGACCGUGCAAAGGUAGCAUAAUAAUUAGUUUUUUAAUUGGAAGCUGGAAUGAAUGAUUGGACGAGAAAAUAGCUGUCUCAAUUUAAUUUUUUUAGAAUUUUAUUUUUAAGUAAAAAAGCUUAAAUUUUUUUGAAAGACGAGAAGACCCUAUAGAGUUUUAUAUAUAUUAAUUUAUAGAUUUUUUAGAUUUUUUAUAUUUAUAUUUUAAUAUAUAUUUUGUUGGGGUGAUGGAAAAAUUUAAUAAACUUUUUUUAUAAAUUAAACAUUUUUUUAUGAUUAUUUGAUCCAAUUAUUUUGAUUAUAAGAUUAAAUUACCUUAGGGAUAACAGCGUAAUUUUUUUUUAGAGUUCUUAUCGAAAAAAAAGAUUGCGACCUCGAUGUUGGAUUAAAAUUAAUUUUUGGUGUAGAAGCUAAAAAAUUAGGUCUGUUCGACCUUUAAAAUUUUACA